UCACUUCCUUCAUGGUCCUUGGCUCAGGCAUCCGCCUAAUAGCUGCUACACGCCCUGGAUCCAUCCGCAGACGUCCUCCACCCACUAUGAAGCCGAGAGUCCGAAAGGCAUCACACGGAACUGGUAAAGAGGCCGACCAGGAACCGUAAAGGCUGUGUAUUCCUUGCUGCCCGUGUCCAACUCAAUCUGCCAUAAAGCGAACUUCAAAUCCACGCUGGAAAUGUAGUACGUUUGGUCAAUUCUGGACAGAAUGCCGUCUAUGCUGGGCAACGGAUCUUGAUACUACGGUGGUGCGGUUGCUCCAGGGGCUUUUGCUCUCCUCGAUGACUCCGAGCGCUAGCAUCUUGUCGACCUCGUCCUCGACCACCUUCUGCUUCGCGGGAGACAUCGGAUAGGGUCGAUCCUUGAACACAUUGGCUCCGUCCAUCAGCUCAAUAGUGUGCUUCUCCAGACUGGUGGUACCUAAGCCAUCCCGCUCGAAAGUCAAGAACUGCUGCUUGAUCUCCUCCAGCUCUUGUUCCUCGGCCUUGGAAAGCGUCCAGGACUCGGGAUCGGUUUUCUCCUCAUCGUCAUCCUCGACCUCA